CCAGCAGCUGCGGUAAUUCCAGCUCCAAUAGCGUAUAUUAAAGUUGUUGCAGUUAAAACGCUCGUAGUCUGAUGUAAUGGGGACUGGGGUGGGGAGCAGCGAUGCUCUUUGCUUUGGUCCUCAUCAGGGGGACAGCAAUGUCCCAGUUUAGUUUGAGGAAAUUAGAGUGUUCAAAGCAGGCGAUUGCUUGAAUACUGCAGCAUGGAAUAAUGGAAUAGGACUCGCGUCUUAUUUUGUUGGUUUGGAGAUGUGAGUAAUGAUGAAUAGGGACAGUUGGGGGCAUUAGUAUUCAAUAGUCAGAGGUGAAAUUCUUGGAUUUAUUGAAGACUAACUAAUGCGAAAGCAUUUGC
rnacentral:rRNA from 1 species